CAGCAGCCGCGGUAAUACGGAGGGCGCAAGCGUUAAUCGGAAUUACUGGGCGUAAAGCGCACGCAGGCGGUUUGUUAAGUCAGAUGUGAAAUCCCCGAGCUUAACUUGGGAACUGCAUUUGAAACUGGCAAGCUAGAGUCUUGUAGAGGGGGGUAGAAUUCCAGGUGUAGCGGUGAAAUGCGUAGAGAUCUGGAGGAAUACCGGUGGCGAAGGCGGCCCCCUGGACAAAGACUGACGCUCAGGUGCGAAAGCGUGGGGAGCAAACAGGAUUAGAUACCCCUGUAGUCCCUGUCUCUUAUAA
rnacentral:rRNA from 1 species